CAGUCGCCGCGGUAAUUCGUAGGUGGCAAGCGUUGUCCGGAAUUAUUGGGCGUAAAGGGCUCGCAGGCGGUUUCUUAAGUCUGAUGUGAAAGCCCCCGGCUCAACCGGGGAGGGUCAUUGGAAACUGGGAAACUUGAGUGCAGAAGAGGAGAGUGGAAUUCCACGUGUAGCGGUGAAAUGCGUAGAGAUGUGGAGGAACACCAGUGGCGAAGGCGAUUCUCUGGUCUGUAACUGACGCUGAGGAGCGAAAGCGUGGGGAGCGAACAGGAUUAGAUACCCCGGUAGUCCCUGUCUCUUAUUC
rnacentral:rRNA from 1 species